rnacentral:lncRNA from 1 species
AUCUGAUUUAUUUCAGUGCCUUUUCUCCCUAUAUUAAACAUAUUAAUUAUCCCCAGGUGAGAAAGGAAAAUAAUAUUUAGCCUCCCAGAUUAGAGAGAAAUAAUUUAUUUGAUAGUGGUUUUCAUUGUCAAGUUAAUAGAGGAUGCUUUCUUAAAUAACUCAGGGCUUGCAAAUGGUGGGAAAAUAAGCUUUCACAUAAUAAGCUUGGGGUAAUGGUUUACAUGAAAGACAUAAUAUUAAGGUAAUCGGAAGUAUAAAUAUCUUUUGAGGAAAGAAGGAGUCGAAAUAAAUUUUGUAUUUGAUUUUAGAGAGUACUAAAUAAAGCGCAGAAUGAAAAACCCUGUUGUUUUUCUACUCUCCUUCCAUCCAUCCAGGCAACCAGCACUUAUUCCACCAUUUUCUGAGGAAAAACAUAGGACUAUGACACAAAGUCUCACCCUUGUCUCACGUGGAGGGGAGUAAGCCAGUGCUAUUCCCUAUCUGAGCUUGGAAUGUGCAAGACAUCAAAGGGAUUGAUGGGUCUGGUUCUGUCACCCAGGCUGGAGUGCAAUGGCACACUCUCAGCUCACCACAACCUUCGCCCCCCAGGUUUAAGUGAUUCUCCUGCCUCAACCUCCCAAGUAGCUGGGACUACAGGUGUGUACCACCAUGGCUGGCUAAUUUUUGUAUUUUUAAGUAGAGUCAGGGUUCCGCCAUGUUGGUCAGGCUGGUCUUGAAUCCCUGACCUCAUGAUCCACCCACCUCAGCCUCCCAAAGGGCUGGGAUUACAGGCGCGAGCCACCGUGCCUGGCUAAGUCUAUGUUCUUAUUCAGAGACUUAG